rnacentral:lncRNA from 1 species
UUUGUGUUAGGUAUUGGCAGUGUCAUGCAGAUGGGGGUUGCACCUGCAACCAAUCCAUUCAUUGGUAUUAAGGGAAUUGUGGUAAAAUUCGUUUGGUUUGAAUUCAUGGUUGAUUGAGUGGGUAGAGAAGAAGUUGUUCGCUUUUGUCGGAGAUAAGAUUGUAUGAGUGUUCUUUUUAUUGAUAUUUAAAGGACGCAAAUCUAUUAUGAUAGAAUUUAUGGUAAUAAAAGUAGUAUUAAUUUAGUUUUUAAUAUUCAUAGAAUGUUCGGACUAGGAGUAGAAGGAUUAACCUAGUAGUGCUUAUUGUAGUUUUGAUGUUUUGACAUAAUGAAAUAGAGAAAUGAAGGACCAACUAUCAGAUAGAAGAACAUCACCUUCCAUAUAGUGACUACAUCUUGUAUAUAACCACGAUAGCAUCCUCAAUUUUUGUUUAAAAAAAUCAUGAAAAAGAUACCAACAUUUUUGUCAUAUUGUAUUCAUAGAGUGCAACAAGUAUAUCAACUUAGGGGUCGUUUGGUAGUUGACUAGAGUUGUACAUGUAGUAGUAACGAAAAAAGGUCAUAUUCUCCCUCGUACUCUCACAAAUAAGUCAUAUUUUCCCUUCGUUACUUUUUCAACAAAUUUGUCCUUUUCAUCCAACUUUAGGGUCAUAUUUGCCCCUGUAUUCUCAAAAAGGGUCAUAUUUACCCCUACGACGUUAAAUCUUCAUGUAUUCAAUAUAUUUGCCCUUUUCUUCCAACUUUAGGACCAUAUUUGCCCUUAUACUAUAAAAAAGAUCAUAUUUGUCAUUCUUAAAUAGAGAUUUCACCUUUUAAUUUUUGAGUUCAGGCAAUUAAUUUUUCUACUCCUAGUUCCAACAUCCUAGGAAUAUUAAGAGUUACAAGAAAUACUAUUUCUAUUCCCAUAAAUUCAAUCACAAUAGAUUUGCCUCCUUUAAAAAUCAAUGACUAGAAGAUCCAUACAAUCUCAUUUUUGACAAAAGCGAAAAACCUCCUCUCUAUCACUCAGUCAAUCAUGGAUCCAAGCCAUACAAACCUUACCACCAACUCCCAUAAUACCAGUGGACGGAUUGGUUGCGGGUGCAACCCCCAUCUACAUGACGUCGCCAAUACCCAAAACAAACCCAGGGUCGAAAUGGGUCUCCAAGGCCACUCUCUCACAGUGCAUGUCUUAAUAGAGAAUCAAGAAAUAUGCUAGUGAUACAAAUUCUUCCUUCAUAGCCUAGAUUGUUUCGAAAGAGAUGAGUAGAGCCAUGGAGUUUUACAACAGUCAUCUAUGGAUGUCGACAACCUUGUAGCCACCAAUGAAUUACAAACUCCUGGGUUACUUAAAGAACAUUCCAUCAAGGGAGACCAUACACUCUCAUGCACUAAACUCAUCCAAUAGCAGUGAUAACUCCCCUACCAGGCUACUUGAACAUCCAAGACAUAGACCCUUAUACCAUUACUGGCAAAUACAGGGACUAGCAUAGGGAGCUAGGUUUUUUCCCAACUACAGUUCCCUCUGUUAGUCCGUGCAUUUGCUAGUAAUGGUGAAAAGGGUCUAUGUCUUGGAUGUUCAAGUAGCUGCGUAGAGGGACUGUCACUGCAAUUGGAUGGGUUUGGUGCAUGGGAGUGCACAGUGAUGUCUCCCUUGUUGGAAUGUUAAAGAACAAUAACUCUGGGAGCUGGUAGUUUAUUGGUGCUGAAGGGUUGUUGACAUCCAUAGAUGGCUGUUGUAAGUUUCCAUGGCUCUCCUCAUCCCUACCGAAAUAAUCUGAGCUAGAAUGGAAAGCUUUUGUAUAACUAGCAUUAUUUCUUGAUUCUCCAUCAAGACAUGCAGUGUUAGAGAGUGUCCUUGGAGACCCAUUUUGACCCAAGAUGAUGGGUUUGUGUUAGGUAUUGGAAGCGUCAUGCAGAUGGGGGUUGCACCUGCAACCAAUCCGUCCAUUUGUAUUAAAGGAAUUGUGGUAAAAUUUGUUUGGUUUGAAUUCAUGGUUGAUUGAGUGGGUAGAGAAGAAGUUGUUCGCUUUUGUCGGAGAUAAGAUUGUAUGAGUGUUCUUUUUAUUGAUAUUUAAAGGACGCAAAUCUAUUAUGAUAGAAUUUAUGGUAAUAAAAGUAGUAUUAAUUGUAGUUUUUAAUAUUCCUAGAAUGUUCGAACUAGGAGUAGAA